rnacentral:rRNA from 1 species
GACGAACGCUGGCGGCGUGCUUAACACAUGCAAGUCGAACGAUGAAGCCUAGCUUGCUAGGUGGAUUAGUGGCGAACGGGUGAGUAAUACGUGAGUAACCUACCUUUAACUCUGGGAUAAGCCUGGGAAACUGGGUCUAAUACCGGAUACGACCAAUCUCCGCAUGGAGUGUUGGUGGAAAGCGUUAUGUAGUGGUUAUAGAUGGGCUCACGGCCUAUCAGCUUGUUGGUGAGGUAACGGCUCACCAAGGCGACGACGGGUAGCCGGCCUGAGAGGGUGACCGGCCACACUGGGACUGAGACACGGCCCAGACUCCUACGGGAGGCAGCAGUGGGGAAUAUUGCACAAUGGGCGCAAGCCUGAUGCAGCGACGCCGCGUGAGGGAUGACGGCCUUCGGGUUGUAAACCUCUGUUAGCAGGGAAGAAGAGAAAUUGACGGUACCUGCAGAGAAAGCGCCGGCUAACUACGUGCCAGCAGCCGCGGUAAUACGUAGGGCGCGAGCGUUGUCCGGAAUUAUUGGGCGUAAAGAGCUUGUAGGCGGUUUGUCGCGUCUGCUGUGAAAGGCCGGGGCUUAACCCCGUGUAUUGCAGUGGGUACGGGCAGACUAGAGUGCAGUAGGGGAGACUGGAACUCCUGGUGUAGCGGUGGAAUGCGCAGAUAUCAGGAAGAACACCGAUGGCGAAGGCAGGUCUCUGGGCUGUAACUGACGCUGAGAAGCGAAAGCAUGGGGAGCGAACAGG